UAGAUCACAGAACAAGAGUCCGACCUGACUAGACCGAGUGAAGGGGGGAGAGAGAGAGAGAGAGAGAGAGAGAGAGAGAGAGAGAGGAGCCAUAGCCCAAAGCUCGUCCCCCGUCGGCCGUGGUAGCCACCGUUCGGUGACCGACCGUCGAAGAUGGCGGAGCAUUUGGCGUCCAUAUUCGGCACAGAGAAGGACAGAGUGAACUGCCCUUUCUACUUCAAGAUCGGCGCUUGCCGGCACGGCGACCGCUGCUCCCGCCUCCACACUAAGCCCACCAUCAGCCCCACUCUCCUCCUCUCCAACAUGUACCAGCGCCCCGACAUGCUCACCCCCGGCGUCGACCCCCAAGCUCAGAACCUCGACCCCCGCAAGGUCCAGGACCACUUCGAGGAUUUCUACGAGGAUCUCUUCGAGGAGCUCAGCAAGUAUGGCGACAUAGAGAACCUGAACAUCUGCGACAACAUCGCUGAUCACAUGGUCGGCAAUGUCUACGUGCAGUUUAGAGAGGAAGAGCAUGCUGCUAAUGCGCUUCAGAACCUUACCGGGAGGUUUUAUGCAGGUUGUGGAAUCUGAGAUCCAAACAAGAGCUGUUUUAGUCCGAGUUGGUUGUGAGGGCCCUUAAGUUUUCCACGUUAGAUUACAUCGCUUUAGGAAAUACUCUGCCAUACAACUUUCUGGGCGUCCCAUCAUUGUGGACUUUUCUCCAGUCACGGAUUUUCGUGAAGCUACAUGCAGACAAUACGAGGAAAAUGUUUGCAACCGCGGAGGUUAUUGCAACUUCAUGCAUCUGAAGAAGAUCAGCAGGGAUUUGAGGAGGAAACUCUUUGGGAAAAGUAGGCGCAGACAGAGUCGAAGCCGGAGUCCUCACAGACACUCUGAUCACCGACCAUACAGCUCCCGUGGUCCAGGCAGAAGGGAAGAUGAUCGGGAACGCCGGCAUCAUGAUCGAGGCAGAAAGCCUCGGAGCCAAAGCCCUGGGCGCAGAGGGAGAAGCCCAAGCCCAAGGGGAAGGAGGAACAGGAGCCCAGUUCGGGAAAGUAGCGCUGAGCGAAGAGCCAAGAUUGAGCAAUGGAACCGGGAAAGGGAGGAACAAGCAGAAGCAAAUGGUAAGGGUGAUAAUGGAACCAACGAGGUGUAGUUUAAUUUAAUUCCUUAACUCUUGGACAGUGAAAGGAAAACCACAAGGGCAGAUGUCUUGUGGAUGUUGUCUUAAUUGAGAAAUGCCCGUCUCGUUUGGCCUUCUUAGUCUUCAUCACAUGGUUCACAUAGUUGUGCAACAGCGGUUGUAUAAAAAUAUGUUAUGAAGCUCGUGGAAUUGGUCUUGGUGCCGACUUAUUUAGUCCGUUUUCAUAUUACUGAGGCGAGUCGGUUUUUCUCAGAGCAAGAGGCUCAUGUUUAAUAUAAACGGUUUGUAGUGCUGCAAUAUCAUCUUUUUCUGAAGACAAACAUUAUAUGAAUUUGUGAUUUUGGUUUCGAGGAA